ACCGGCGGCUCGAGUGGUGGCCACUAUUACUGGGCUUAAAGCGUUCGUAGCUGGCUUGUUAAGUCUCUGGGGAAAUCUUCCGGCUCAACCGGGAGGCGUCGCAGGGAUACUGGCAGGCUAGGGACCGGAAGAGGUGAGAGGUACUCCAGGGGUAGGAGUGAAAUCCUGAAAUACUUGGGGGAACACCUGUGGCGAAGGCGUCUCACCAGACCGGCUCCGACACUGAGGAGCGAAAGCUGGGGGAGCAAACCG
rnacentral:rRNA from 1 species